rnacentral:piRNA from 1 species
UAACCUAAGGGAUGCCAUGGUUUGGCUGA